CUUGCUUUCUAGCCAAUGGGUUGUUAGUGGAAAUGUACCGAAUGCGCGUGUUAGAAUAUAAAAGGCUUGCUUAGAAGAGUAAGUGCAGAUAUACAAGAUGACCAGGAUGCACAAGAUGAUGGGAAUACACAAGAUGAUGCAGAUACACAUCAUGAUCAUCACAGCAAUAAAGAAAUCUUCCUGGCAUGAGAACCCUGCAUCAUGAUGCUAACUCAUGACAACCAUAAAUUUCUUGAGUUGGUUCUAGAUUUUGGCUUUCUCCAGGAACAGCAUGCAGACUUGCAGCAAAUCCUGUGCAGGUAUUCAAGGCUGACUCUGCUCCUGUGCCUUCUGUGAGAAAACUAUCCCUUUGUCAGAAGAUGCUUCAUCUCAUCAUCAGUAGUUUAAGCAUGUGACACAUGCAAGCAGACAUUUUUUUUGCCCCCAGCAUUUUCUCGUCUUUUGAUGUGACUGAAGAAAGAACCUUUCCUGGAUUGCCAUUGGUCUUCUUGUCAAAAGUCUCCCAGAUCAGACCUUUGAGAUGCUCAAAAUACAUCACCACCUCAUUCGUAGCUCCCUGCUGGGCUUCAGAUUGGAACAAUUACUUUGCCUUGAGUCGUUGCCAAUUAUUUUGCUGCUGUAUGAUUAAAUGGACUGUAAUUGAAUAGCCGAUCACCAGGAUUUAAUGAACCUCCACUGUUAAAUCUAGCCAAGUUAAAGAUUUUAUUUUUUUUUCCUUCUGUCACCUCCCAGGAUACUCAAGCUGAAUCCAGAGGCAAAAGGUCGCAGAGGAGACAAGCAAAAACAACAAUGAGAACAGGAUUUGCAGUGUGAUAUAAAAUAGCAUCAAGAAUCCGUAACGUUAAACAAUUUAUAAGCAGAGUGACUUGCAGGUUGUUUUUGCUUGGCAAAGACAUAUGCACACAUUGAUAUGAGGACAAUGAACGUGUGUGUAAGAACCAUGUGUUUUUUCCCAAUCAAGAAAAUGUUAUUUAGUAUAUAAUACAGUUGGAUUGGAGCAUA